rnacentral:lncRNA from 1 species
UAAGAAAUAUGCUGCAGGUUGGACCUUCUUGCAUUUUGGUAAUUUAAUCCAGUUGAUGAAAAAUGUAUGAAAUUAUUUGUAGUACCUUAGUAUGUCACCGAUCAUUCAUUAAAUCCGACGGCAUUAAUCAGUCUGUUUAAACUCUAAGUUUUUGUAAAAUGGAACGUUGCUUAAGAUUGUCAUGUGCGACGCUUGCGUUAAUCCUCUAACUAGGUCAUUGUGCCAAGCACGGACGGGGGUUGUAGUCAGUCCAAACAUCCACUGCAGUGGGAUUCUGGAGAAGCUUAAGUUUAUUUUCGGCUUCUUUCCCUGAAGUGGGCGUUGCAAUCGUUCGAACGGCAUGAACACAUGAACACCGUUGACGUGCGGCUAAAAUUUUGUUUUAGUCAAUGGCAUAAACGAACUAAGUUAUGAUCGAUCAAAUAUUGAUUGUUAAAACAGGUUGUCCAGAGAUGUUUCGUGCUAAUUUGGUCCAGGCUGUCUGGGGUAUUUUGCAUUAUUCCUUAUGAUCUUUUCCAUCAACUGACUGGACACUUUAUUUCAAGGCUUUUUCUAAUUAAAAAGUCAUGAGUUUCAAGCAGCGAGGCAGCAGAAACAGGCCCUAAUUUGUGGAAUAAACAAGAACCACAUUAAAGAACUGGAAUCUUGGGUCACUAGGAACUGACAGUUGCGCUGGUCUACAAUGGAUAUCACACAAACUGAAGAUGGCAAAAUGCUGACACACUGAUGUACCAACCAGCAAGGAUAGGCAGGACAAGAGUAAUUACAAAUACCAGUAACAAAAAGGUGCCCCCCCGGAGGACAAAAUAGGGGGGGGAGGCAACUUACAACAGCCUGAUGAUGGACAGAGCCCCUAAAUCCAUUGCAGGUUUUGUGCUGUUCGACUCAAGAGGUCAAACAUUAGUAUCCGAUUCAGUUGAAGGGAGAAGAUGAGUGUCAAACACUGAUUUGCUUAUGUUCUGCAUUCCUUACUGAAAUAUUUCUUUCUUUCUUUAAUCUAUUCAUUAUUGUUUGUUGAUUACUUGUUUAAAAAAAAUAUAUGUA